GAUCGCGUCUUUCCUAUCCACCUCCAUCACCGCCGCCCAUUCACAACCACGCGUGCAUCGAAAAGCCCUCAACCACUGUGCCUUCCCUCUUUCUCUCUCCAUCCCCACCCCCACUCAAACGACUUUGCCCCCCCCCCACACAAACCAUACCACACUCCUCCUUUCUCUCUGGCUCUGCGUUUCACUGUUGUUCGCCUCGAUUCGCUGGUUGCCCCCACCGCCAACCGCCACUGCCCCCCCCCAUUUUUUCUCCUUCCCCUCCCCCUUGUUUUUCAUUCACCCUCUCUUGAAGCGUUCUUUUAGUGUUUGUGUGUGCGUGCGGUUGUGUGGUGCUUUUUGAAGUCCUUACGUGACGCUACAGGCCGCCCCCACCACCCCACCACACGCAGAGGUACGGUCCUCUCACUCUCUAGAGUUACUUUGUGUGCAUAAGCGAACAGCAGCAACAAUAAAGGUCUCCUCCCUCCUGGCUGUGGCGUACUUGUUUGUGCGUGUGCGUGUGCGUGUCGUUCUUUUUGGUCGCUCAUCGUGCCGGUGGCGGUGCUACGGUGACUGCUGCCUCCGUUGUGCUUGUUGCGGUGACGACGUACAGGUGUAAAGCGAGGAACGACGGUAGUGUUGCCGUGCUGUCGGUCUUGUGCUGGCAGGUGCGGUAGCGCGCCUGCGUACAGGGGGAUUGCGCUGUCGCCCAUCUACGCCCCCACGCCCUGCCGUGUCUCCCCUUCUUUCUUCUUCUCGGCCCUGCGUCCUCGCAUUGCUGCGGCCGGCGCCCCCUUCUUUUCACUUCCUCUCCCUGUGCCUGAUCUGAGCCCCCUUCUUGUUGUUCAUCUUUGGCUGGGACCCUUCCUCGUCCCCUCGUGCCCCUCUUUUCCAUCUCGCGGUCGCUACUGUUCUCCGGCUCGGGUUUCUCUGCUCCGACCUCGCUCGUCGCCCCUCCUCUCGUGUCGCUCGUGGGUGACCAUCGGUUCUGUGUGUCUGUGUGCGCACGUGCAAGUACGCGCCGGCUCUUCCGUCUUCUUCUCUCGAGCAGCGGAAAGAGUAUGAAGUCUGUCAAGAAGACCCCAAAGGGGGAACACCACAGCCUCGUGCCGACGACGACCACCGCCGCGGCUAAUAGCACCAGCAACGGCACUAAAGACCAUAUCCACAAUGGAAACAACGCCGCCGCGUCUCAGCGCACAUCGGUGCCGCUGCUGGACGAGGAGAGUCUAAAGGCGAACACCGCUAGCGCCUCUAGUGGCGCAGCAGGUGGCUUCACUCUAGUGCCGCACAGCGACGAUAGACUAAAAAUGGGCGGCGCCACAAUCUCUGGGUCGCCGCCUAGCCAGCCGCACAGCGUGGACAGUAGCAACAUCUACACGAUGCUGCAGCAGCAGCACGCGGUAGCCAUGGCCGCGGCGCAGUUGGAGCACGCGUACAACCAGACGUGCUACUUGCUGCAGCAGUGCUCGCAUAACGCACUCCUCACGGUGCUCAUGUCGCUGCUGAACGACUACCCCACCACCCUAGUCCAGCCAAUCCGCAUGCGAGUGGAACAAGUGUUGGCACAUCAGAUGUCCCCGUCCGCCUCGGGCCGCGUGGCGGUGCCAGGGAGAAGAGGCAGCGAAUUUGUGCCAAACAGCAGCGCCGCGCCUUGGACGCCAUCAAACAUGCGUGGCAGCGCCGCCCCGACGCCGACAGCGAACAGCACUACCCCUAGUCACCGUCGCGGUCGGGGACACAAGGGUAAGGAGGAGGAGCAGGAGAUGUGCAGCAUCCACAACAACUUGCGGGCGAUGAAGCACCUCCAACUGAACGUCUCCACUGGACUGUACGAGUGCAUACACGGCUUUCACUGCCUCGUCGACGGUCCGACGGACGCGUCUCCGAAGCGGCUGAGCACAGCCUCGGCGGUGUCGCCUUCCACCUCUGCUUCCCGCGCCAACGGCCCUGCACCGUCUGCCGACAGCCAACCGUUUGCCCCUCCCCCCACCAUCGUCUCACCGGCUGCGGCGGAGUCGCGCUUCAGUGUAACCGAGGUCGAGGCGCUGCGCAUGUUGGGGUACCCUCUGCCGAACACCAACUCUGACCAACCGCAGCCGCACCUUGCCCAUGAGUCGCCUCACCCGCAGCCGACACUGCAGCAGCCUCACCAGCAGUUCUCGCACCUAUCCCUGCGCAGCUCGGGUCUCGGCCUCAGUGGCCCCAGCCACCACGACCCCGAGAGCUCACAGCUCGCCAACGGGGGCGGAUUCACCGUGAUCAGCGGCGAACGGUCGAGCGCCGGCAACUCGCCCCUUGAUGCCCGUCUCAGCAUGGAUAUACCCUCGCUGGAGUACCUUCUGCAGAGCGUACGUGAUAUCGAUGACGACUAAAAGUGCCUGCUUACAGAACAUCUCUUAUCCGCACACAGCAUCAGCUCAUGCCCCGUUCUUCCCCCGGCCCUGUAACACGCCCCAACCGGCGUGGUGCGAUGGCAGCCGCACACACACACACACACACACGCACGCACGGAACAGGAAUGCGCCGACUCGGUCAUCUCAACACGGUCUCCGCCUCACUCUCUGCACGCUCACCCCCUCGCUGCGCAGGUCGUCUCACAGCCGCUCCCAUUGGGCAGGUCUCCAUCCGGUACAUAACCUUCGGAGUGGCACUCAGGCGCCCCACCAGUAGACAGCCAGAGGGCCGGGUGAGAUGCGUCCGAGUCACGCUGGCACUCUGCCUAUCAUAUGCAUGGUGCACACGUGCUCGGUGCUGCAGGUGGCUCCGACGCCACGCCGUCCAGGACUUGACCGCCGAUAUCAGCGGCCAUGCAUCGCCCCGUCCUCCCCACGUCUUAGGCUCCUGAACCUGUCACCGCCACAGGUGGUUCGGCACUGGCAAGGGUUAGGUAGGGGGCUGCUGGGCUUCCUCCCUCACACACACGCAGAGGGGGAGGUGGUACUACUGGGCCCUGCGACACCACGCACUGAGCGGUGGGUAUCACACCCACCCAACACCACCCGUCAUCCUCCGGGGCCACCCCCGAGGAUGCUCACAGGAAAGAGAUACAGAGAUGACGAUAUAUGAAAGGGGGGGUUCAAAGCAGCACCGAGACUCAGACGCUUACCCACAUGCAGACUGGCGCAUCGACACCGACGUACAUCAUUUUUGUUUUUGCACUUUUUUUUUCGCUCUAUGCUGCAGAUGCUCUCCGGCAAGGGGUGAAGGGGGGUGAGGAGGUGGAGGGGAAGCGGCGUACUUCUCCUUUCGUUUGCGGCUCGCCAUAUUUUGUGUUUUUGUGUGGCUUCUUCUGCUGUUCAACAUGUACGCCUGAUGUGCCCCCUUACACACACACACACACACACCGACACGCACACACACACGUGCUUUCUGCCUCUCUCCUGCUUCCUUUUCCAUCAAAUGGAUGAUGUCCUUUACUGCAAUGGCAUGCGAACCCCCUCCCUCUUCCCCCUCCUCCCACCCCACUCCCCUCCGAUAGAAUAGCGCACGCACACAUGCGCACGGGCGUACGGACACAUGCACAUACGCACAUGCACGCACACCCGUCUCGCCUGUCGCUCCGUCUUUCGUGUACGUAUGUGCAUAUAUGUACACGCACACACACACACAUAUAUAUAUAUAUAUGCGUUCUGUGUGUGUGUGCGUGUGUGUGUGUGUGUGCAUUGUUCUUUGGUUGUGUGCUACCCCCUCCCCCCUCCUUCUCGUUUUUAAACUGUGCUUCUUCUUAUGCCAUCACUUUCUCACGGAUGUACCACUCCCCGGAUGUUUUUUUUUUGUUUCUAUUGUUCAUCUCUCUUUUAUGUUCCUCUGUGUUUGUGUGUGCACGUGUGCGUCUCUGUGUGUGUGUGUAGUACGCACUCUCUCUUCUUUUACAUUUGAGUUUUUUUCUAGGCUUGACACUCCAUUUUUUCUUUGCACUGAUUCUCUCUCUCCACACCCUGCCCACCUCCCCACCCAGUCGUGCACCCCGUCGAUCGCUAGCUCACACUCGCAUGGGCACCUUCUCUUUCAAUCUCUAGCUCUGUCCCUCUCGCUGCCCUCGCCACCGCUUCGUUCUCUCUGCAUGUGUGAUUGCCUUCCUCCCAGCUCCCUCCUGACCGCCUGCAGUAUCGCUGCGUGUCGCCGCAGUUCAAGGGCAUCUGGGUGCGCAGAAUGGUGAGGCGCUAGCAGCGUGUGCGUGUGUGUGAUAGAGUGGAAACGAGGAGUGAGGGCAACAGUGCCAGUGCCUGUAGAUUGCCGUACAGGACUGUUGAUGACAACGUGUGUCGUGCACACUGGUGCACCCACCGACAGACCCUGCCGUGUCUUCGUCUCUACCACCUCCUCAACCGUAUCACACGUCUGUCACCUCUCACGUCGCUCAUCCCACCGCACGCGCUCUUACACACACGGGCAACGCUGUCGUCACGGAUGGCUCGUGUCGCUCUCGGUUGCUUCCUUUUUUCUCUCUCUCUCUGUGUGCAUGUGCAUGUGUGUGGUUUGUAUCCCUCUCCGUCCUUGGGACGCGCUUCGCUUCUUGCCUUCUCUCCCCAUUUUCUCUCAUCUCCCUUCUCCCUUCUCCCUUUUCCCACGUUCGCGUUUCGCUUGUGUGGUGUGUUGCUUGCUUCCCCUGUGAUGGUGGUGGUUCGCCGGGUGCUCCGGCCGGCUUCGUAGGCGUUGACGUGUGCGACUGUUGCCCUCCUUCGGUGAUGGUGAAGGUGGGGAGGGGCUGUUGGUUAUUGUGUUUGGCUUUGUGUCCUCGUUCUCGGAAUAAACUACUAAGAAGGAACGAACGACACGGAUAAGCGAGGAAUGGUAAAUGCGUAAACCUCUGUUGUGGCUCUGCGUGUCUCCUUGUCUCUCUGUGGUGCUGAUGCUUGCCCCGCCCAUCUUCGUGGUUCGCUUCGUUUCUUGUGCCCGACCCUCUUCUCCCUCCUCUUCUUUCUCUCCAUGUGUGUGUGUGUGUGUGUCUUUGUUGGGUGAAUCUCGCUUCUUACUUUUUUUCGAGGGUGAAUGGGUAGGGUGGGGAUGCUUCCCUAUUGCUCGAGAGAGAGACAGAGGCAGACGGAGCGUAACGCACGAGCACGCCCCUUGGGAAUGUUUUGAGGGAUAGAGAGAGGGAGGGAGAGUGGAGAUGAUCAGACGGGAGGCCAGCAAGAAGAAAAGAAAAAUGGAGUGUCUCUUGCGCAUACGUGUUGUCUCUUCAGCUGUCUUCGCUUUUUCCUCUUUCAUGUGCGUGCGCGCGCAUCGAGCGUGAGCGCGAGCAGCACCGGUCGCCAUGUACAGUGAAAGCCGACAAGGAAACAGAAACAGGAAAACAAAACAGAAAACGGGGGUGGGCUUGUGGGAGGAGCAAACCCGGGCACUCGCGCCCGCACGCACACACACACACACCGGCGCACGUUUACGAUAAGUCUCCCUCUUACACCUGUACGUGUACACAUUUGGCUAAGCUAACGCAAAGAAGAGGGUGAGGGAGAGAUAGGGGGUGAUCGAGCACUACGACGGAAUGAAAGCUGCUCUCUUCACCCCCUCAUGCAGAGGGCUCUCUCUCCCCCACUCAAGUGAUGAGGAUGAGGACCGCAAACAUGAAAGGCGGCAACGGCAAGAAGAGAAGGCAGGUGAUCUCGAGAGACCGUCAAGGAAGGCAGCGAGGGAAAGAAGUAUGCCCAUGCUUCAAACACUCGUGGAUGCAUGCCAACCGAUGCUAACGCACCCGUGCACGCACAGUGACAGGAGGGGGGACAUCAGCCUCCGAAACGGAGAGAAGCCACGCAUUGCUUGACCCACGCACACGCGCCGAGCCCUUUAUCGACUUCGCUUGUUUUCAGAUUGGUAGCGUCGCGGAGCAUCACCGUUUAGGGCAGGUGGGUGGAUGAAGGGAGAGGAGGGGGUUCAUGGGUGUGCCCAGCUUUCCUUU
rnacentral:misc_RNA from 1 species